GUAUUUACAAGUAUAUUCUUUAUAUUGAUAUUUAGAGCAAUCAAUAAUCCCAACAACUAACGGGGAACCUGCUCGUGGCCGUGAAGAUACAGCUGUUUACCCGAAACAUCACUAGAACCUCAGGACAAAGUCAUGGAAGAUUCUCAACAAUGUAAAUAAGUAGACAGCAAGAAAGUUGAUACAUAGGGCAUUGCAAUCAAGCAGACACUACUACGGGAUGUGGAUUAAAGUUACUCACAAUAUAAUCAUCCCUACAACAGUUACUGCCAGAAAAAGAGCACCUGACAAUAAUGCUGGUGCAGCGCAAACCGAAUAAUAACUAUGUAAUAAAUAAAUGCUGAUUCCUUCCGA